rnacentral:rRNA from 1 species
UACAGAGGGGGCAAGCGUUAUUCGGAAUUAUUGGGCGUAAAGAGCUCGUAGGCGGCUUGUCGCGUCGGAUGUGAAAGCCCGGGGCUCAACUCCGGGCCUGCAGCCGAUACGGGCAGACUAGAGUUCGGCAGGGGAGACUGGAAUUCCUGGUGUAGCGGUGAAAUGCGCAGAUAUCAGGAGGAACACCGGUGGCGAAGGCGGGUCUCUGGGCCGAUAUUGACGCUGAGGAGCGAAAGCGUGGGGAGCAAACAGG